rnacentral:rRNA from 1 species
CCUACGGGAGGCAGCAGUGGAAUAUUGGUCAAUGGGCGGAAGCCUGAACCAGCCAAGUAGCGUGCGGGAUGAAGGCCCUACGGGUCGUAAACCGCUUUUGCACGGGGAUAACACCCUCCACUCGUGUAGGUCUGCAGGUAUCGUGCGAAUAAGGGCCGGCUAAUUCGGUGCCGGCAGCCGCGGAAAUACGCAAGGCCCGAGCGUUAUCCGGUUUCUUUGUGCUAAAAGGGGGCGAAGGCGGGUGUUAAAGUCAUCUGUAAAAUCGUGGGGCUCAACCGCGCACCGCAGUUGAAACUGGACGCCUUGAGUUCACAACAGGCAGGCGGAAUUCGUGGUGUAGCGGUGAAAUGCAUAGAUAUCACGAAGAACCCCGAUUGCGAAGGCAGCCUGCCGGGGUGCGACUGACGCUGAGGCUCGAAGGUGCGGGUAUCAAACAGGAUUAGAUACCCUUGUAGUC